ACAUGCAAGUCGAACGAACUCUGGUAUUGAUUGGUGCUUGCAUCAUGAUUUACAUUUGAGUGAGUGGCGAACUGGUGAGUAACACGUGGGAAACCUGCCCAGAAGCGGGGGAUAACACCUGGAAACAGAUGCUAAUACCGCAUAACAACUUGGACCGCAUGGUCCGAGCUUGAAAGAUGGCUUCGGCUAUCACUUUUGGAUGGUCCCGCGGCGUAUUAGCUAGAUGGUGGGGUAACGGCUCACCAUGGCAAUGAUACGUAGCCGACCUGAGAGGGUAAUCGGCCACAUUGGGACUGAGACACGGCCCAAACUCCUACGGGAGGCAGCAGUAGGGAAUCUUCCACAAUGGACGAAAGUCUGAUGGAGCAACGCCGCGUGAGUGAAGAAGGGUUUCGGCUCGUAAAACUCUGUUGUUAAAGAAGAACAUAUCUGAGAGUAACUGUUCAGGUAUUGACGGUAUUUAACCAGAAAGCCACGGCUAACUACGUGCCAGCAGCCGCGGUAAUACGUAGGUGGCAAGCGUUGUCCGGAUUUAUUGGGCGUAAAGCGAGCGCAGGCGGUUUUUUAAGUCUGAUGUGAAAGCCUUCGGCUCAACCGAAGAAGUGCAUCGGAAACUGGGAAACUUGAGUGCAGAAGAGGACAGUGGAACUCCAUGUGUAGCGGUGAAAUGCGUAGAUAUAUGGAAGAACACCAGUGGCGAAGGCGGCUGUCUGGUCUGUAACUGACGCUGAGGCUCGAAAGUAUGGGUAGCAAACAGGAUUAGAUACCCUGGUAGUCCAUACCGUAAACGAUGAAUGCUAAGUGUUGGAGGGUUUCCGCCCUUCAGUGCUGCAGCUAACGCAUUAAGCAUUCCGCCUGGGGAGUACGGCCGCAAGGCUGAAACUCAAAGGAAUUGACGGGGGCCCGCACAAGCGGUGGAGCAUGUGGUUUAAUUCGAAGCUACGCGAAGAACCUUACCAGGUCUUGACAUACUAUGCAAAUCUAAGAGAUUAGACGUUCCCUUCGGGGACAUGGAUACAGGUGGUGCAUGGUUGUCGUCAGCUCGUGUCGUGAGAUGUUGGGUUAAGUCCCGCAACGAGCGCAACCCUUAUUAUCAGUUGCCAGCAUUAAGUUGGGCACUCUGGUGAGACUGCCGGUGACAAACCGGAGGAAGGUGGGGAUGACGUCAAAUCAUCAUGCCCCUUAUGACCUGGGCUACACACGUGCUACAAUGGAUGGUACAACGAGUUGCGAACUCGCGAGAGUAAGCUAAUCUCUUAAAGCCAUUCUCAGUUCGGAUUGUAGGCUGCAACUCGCCUACAUGAAGUCGGAAUCGCUAGUAAUCGCGGAUCAGCAUGCCGCGGUGAAUACGUUCCCGGGCCUUGUACACACCGCCCGUCACACCAUGAGAGUUUGUAACACCCAAAGUCGGUGGGGUAACCUUUUAGGAACCA
rnacentral:rRNA from 1 species